GACGAACGCUGGCGGCGUGCCUAAUACAUGCAAGUCGAACGAACCGCGACUGAGUGCUUGCACUUGGUCAAGGUGAGUGGCGAACGGGUGAGUAACACGCGGGUAACCUACCUCAUAGUGGGGGAUAACAGUCGGAAACGACUGCUAAUACCGCAUAGGACAUAGGAUCACAUGAUCCAGUGAGGAAAGGUGGCGCAAGCUAUCGCUAAGAGAUGGACCCGCGGUGCAUUAGCUAGUUGGUAGGGUAAAGGCCUACCAAGGCGAUGAUGCAUAGCCGACCUGAGAGGGUGAUCGGCCACAUUGGGACUGAGACACGGCCCAAACUCCUACGGGAGGCAGCAGUAGGGAAUCUUCCGCAAUGGACGCAAGUCUGACGGAGCAACGCCGCGUGAGUGAAGAAGGUCUUCGGAUCGUAAAGCUCUGUUGUUAGAGAAGAACAGCGCAUAGAGUAACUGCUAUGCGUGUGACGGUAUCUAACCAGAAAGCCACGGCUAACUACGUG
rnacentral:rRNA from 1 species